GACGAACGCUGGCGGCGUGCUUAACACAUGCAAGUCGAACGGAAAGGCCCCCAUCUUGGUGGGGGUGCUCGAGGGGCGAACGGGUGAGUAACACGUGGGUGAUCUGCCCUGUACUGCGGGAUAAGCUUGGGAAACGGGGUCUAAUACCGGAGAGGACCAUGGUUUAGGGUCUCGUGGUGGAAAGUUCAUUGUUUUGGUGCAGGAUGAGCUCGCGGCCUAUCAGCUGGUGGGUGGGGUAAUGGCCUUCCAAUGCGGCGUCGGGUAGCCGGCCGGGGGGUGGGGGCGGCCGAGUUUGGACUGGGAUACGGCCCCGCCGCCUGCGGGCGGCAGCCGUGGGGAGUCAUGCACAAUGAGCGCACGCCUGUGGCAGCGACGCUGCGUGGGGGAUGCCGGGCUUCGGGUAGUGACCUCCUUUCGGUAGGGACGAAGCCACGGUUGUUGGGUGUGGUGCCGGUUCCUUUGUUAAGAAGCACCGGCUAACUACGUG
rnacentral:rRNA from 1 species